rnacentral:rRNA from 1 species
ACCCGCUGAACUUAAGCAUAUCAAUAAGCGGAGGAAAAGAAACCAACAGGGAUUGUCUUAGUAACGGCGAGUGAAGCGACAAAAGCUCAAAUUUGAAAUCUGGCACCUUCGGUGUCCGAGUUGUAAUUUGAAGAAGGUAACUUUGGAGUUGGCUCUUGUCUAUGUUCCUUGGAACAGGACGUCACAGAGGGUGAGAAUCCCGUGCGAUGAGAUGUCCAACUCUAUGUAAAGUGCUUUCGAAGAGUCGAGUUGUUUGGGAAUGCAGCUCUAAGUGGGUGGUAAAUUCCAUCUAAAGCUAAAUAUUGGCGAGAGACCGAUAGCGAACAAGUACAGUGAUGGAAAGAUGAAAAGAACUUUGAAAAGAGAGUGAAAAAGUACGUGAAAUUGUUGAAAGGGAAGGGUUUGAGAUCAGACUUGGUAUUUUGUAUGUCUUGCUUUCGGGUGGGGCCUCUGCAGUUUACUGGGCCAGCAUCGGUUUGGACGGUAGGAUAAUGACAUUGGAAUGUGGCACUACUUCGGUGGUGUGUUAUAGA